UACAGAGGUCCCAAGCGUUGUUCGGAUUCACUGGGCGUAAAGGGUGCGUAGGUGGCCGGGCAAGUUUGAUGUGAAAGCUCGGAGCUUAACUCCGAAAUGGCAUUGAAUACUAUCUGGCUGGAGGGUCGGAGGGGAGACUGGAAUUCUCGGUGUAGCAGUGAAAUGCGUAGAUAUCGAGAGGAACACCAGUGGCGAAGGCGAGUCUCUGGACGGUACUGACGCUGAGACGCGAAAGCGUGGGGAGCGAACAGG
rnacentral:rRNA from 1 species